GAUGAACGCUGGCGGCGUGCCUAAUACAUGCAAGUAGAACGCUGAAGGAGGAGCUCGCUCUUCUGGAUGAGUUGCGAACGGGUGAGUAACGCGUAGGUAACCUGCCUGGUAGCGGGGGAUAACUAUUGGAAACGAUAGCUAAUACCGCAUGACAACAGUUAUUGCAUGAUAACUGUUUAAAAGGGGCAACUGCUCCACUACCAGAUGGACCUGCGUUGUAUUAGCUAGUUGGUGAGGUAACGGCUCACCAAGGCGACGAUACAUAGCCGACCUGAGAGGGUGAUCGGCCACACUGGGACUGAGACACGGCCCAGACUCCUACGGGAGGCAGCAGUAGGGAAUCUUCGGCAAUGGACGGAAGUCUGACCGAGCAACGCCGCGUGAGUGAAGAAGGUUUUCGGAUCGUAAAGCUCUGUUGUAAGAGAAGAACGAGUGUGAGAGUGGAAAGUUCACACUGUGACGGUAUCUUACCAGAAAGGGACGGCUAACUACGUG
rnacentral:rRNA from 1 species